UGGGGAAUCUUGCGCAAUGGCCGAAAGGCUGACGCAGCGACGCCGCGUGCGGGAGGAAGCCCUUCGGGGUGUAAACCGCUGUCAGGGGGGAAGAAACCCAAGGGUUCGAACAGGGCCUUUGGCUGACGGUACCCCAGCAGGAGACGCCGGCGUAACUACGUGCCAGCAGCCGCGGUAAUACGUAGGGUGCAAGCGUUAAUCGGAAUUACUGGGCGUAAAGCGUGCGUAGGCGGUUCGGAAAGAAAGAUGUGAAAUCCCAGGGCUCAACCUUGGAACUGCAUUUUUAACUACCGGGCUAGAGUGUGUCAGAGGGGGUGGAAUUCCGCGUGUAGCGGUGAAAUGCGCAGAUAUCAGGAGGAACACCGGUGGCGAAGGCGGCUUGCUGGGCCUGUCCUGACGCUGAGGAGCGAAAGCGUGGGGAGCGAACAGGAUUAGAUACCC
rnacentral:rRNA from 1 species